GAACGCUGGCGGCGUGCCUAAUACAUGCAAGUCGAGCGAACAGACGAGGAGCUUGCUCCUCUGACGUUAGCGGCGGACGGGUGAGUAACACGUGGAUAACCUACCUAUAAGACUGGGAUAACUUCGGGAAACCGGAGCUAAUACCGGAUAAUAUAUUGAACCGCAUGGUUCAAUAGUGAAAGACGGUUUUGCUGUCACUUAUAGAUGGAUCCGCGCCGCAUUAGCUAGUUGGUAAGGUAACGGCUUACCAAGGCGACGAUGCGUAGCCGACCUGAGAGGGUGAUCGGCCACACUGGAACUGAGACACGGUCCAGACUCCUACGGGAGGCAGCAGUAGGGAAUCUUCCGCAAAGGGCGAAAGCCUGACGGAGCAACGCCGCGUGAGUGAUGAAGGUCUUCGGAUCGUAAAACUCUGUUAUUAGGGAAGAACAAAUGUGUAAGUAACUAUGCACGUCUUGACGGUACCUAAUCAGAAAGCCACGGCUAACUACGUG
rnacentral:rRNA from 1 species